AUGGCUGGGAAUAAAGGAAGAGGAGGAUGUGCUGCUCAUACCUUUAAUACUGAGGCUGUUGGAUUUAGCAAAGGUGAAAAGUUACCUUAUGUAGUGUUGAAACCACCCCCACUAUUUCCUGAUGCAGAUUAUAAAUCAGUGCCACUGAAAACAGAAGAUGAAGAAUACAUGCUGGCUUUGAAACAGGAGUUGAGAGAAACAAUGAAAAGAAUGCCUUAUUUUAUUGAAACACCUGAAGAAAGACAAGAUAUUGAAAGGUAUAGUAAAAGAUACAUGAAGGUAUAUAAAGAAGAAUGGAUACCAGAUUGGAGAAGACUUCCAAGAGAGAUAACGCCAAGAAAUAAAUGUAAAAACACAGGCCCAAAACCCGAAAAGGCAAAAGACGCAGGCAAAGUCACCUCACUAAUACUUCAGAUGUGUUGAAAAAAAUUGAGGAAUUGGGAAAGAAAGGUGAUGGUGAAAAUUCAGAAGAGGAAAAUGAAAAGGAAGAAGGAAGCAAAGAGGAAAGUAAAGAAGGUGAUGAUGACGAUGACGAUGAUGCUGCAGAACAGGAGGGAUAUAAUGAAGAAGAGCAAGAAGAGGAAAAUGACUACAUUAAUUCAUAAUUCGAAGAUGGAAAUGAUUUUGGCCCAGACAGUGAUGACAACAUGGAUGAAGCAACCUAUUAG
rnacentral:lncRNA from 1 species